rnacentral:rRNA from 1 species
UGGUGUUACUGCGAAGGGGGGACGGAGAAGGCUAUGUUAGCCGGGCGACGGUUGUCCCGGUUUAAGCAUGUAGGCUGGUUGUCCAGGCAAAUCCGGAUAAUCAAGGCUGAGGUGUGAUGACGAGGCACUACGGUGCUGAAGUAACAAAUGCCCUGCUUCCAGGAAAAGCCUCUAAGCAUCAGGUAACAUUAAAUCGUACCCCAAACCGACACAGGUGGUCAGGUAGAGAAUACCAAGGCGCUUGAGAGAACUCGGGUGAAGGAACUA